rnacentral:lncRNA from 1 species
CACUGGAUCGCCAGCACACGUCUCCUCUGCGUCCUUGAUGCUCUUCUCCACUUUAUCCGAUAUCACUCCUUCUGGCGUCGCUUUAACCGGCCUAACGGUCACCAUCCGGUUGGUUGUUCUUGAACCAAUAUUCCAAGGAUUGUUCAAACGGACCGGACCUGCGAGACGAACUGGUCGAGCCUCGCUGGUGAUGACUGCUAGUUGGGUACCAGUGUUAAGACUAGUAGCAGCUAUAGUUGCCAUUGCUGGAGGAAUUUUUUUUUUUGGAUAAAAGAAGAAGAUAGUUCACAUAAACUGGAGCGAACGGAGAGAUAUAAAGUGUGCAUGAAUUUAAUUUAAGUGAACCCCAUUUCUUAUCACGUAUUAACCAACCAUAGAAUUACACGUGUUUGAAUACUCUUGAGAUAUUUUUUUAUUCGAUCGAAAUGCGAAAGAUUGUAGCCGUCGAAGCAGUUUUUCAAGAAUACCACACACUGCUCUUCAGAUAUUUUUAUCCCAAAAAACAUUCAAAUAGAAUCAAGAAAGAUGUUCUGAAAUUUAACAAUAAUAUCCAAUUUGUUGUUUAUUUAUUAAGCAAGCAACUCUUUUUCUCAGGUAACUUUGUCUGAGAAGUCAAGAAACCAUACAAUAACAUAAAAAUAGAGCUUGAGAGUGGUGUUGUUGAAUUUACUCUUCAGGGUGGACAACGCUGAUCUCGCCUCUCUCAAGCAAGUCGUAGAAAGCUCUGGUUUUCCUCUGCUCGUUCCAGUGGUGCAUCUUCCAGAGACCACCAGCAGCUAAACCGAGUGCCAAACCGAUAACUAAUUCCUUCACCACACUCGGGCCUUUCAGCGUGGCAUGCGCAACCUUGUGUCCUGCCAUUUCAACCUAGCACAAAUCCUCUGCCAUAGAGUCAAUACAACUAUCAACAAUAAUAUAUGACAACUUCACAAUCUUAAUGAAGCAGCUAAAGCUAAAAACGUGAUUUAACAAUCAAUAAACAUCUUUCUCGCUCUAUAUAUAGUCUCUCUUAUUGAUCAAAUACGCAAAUUCUUAUAUAGGUAUGCACAUACGCCUUUGCAGUCUAAAUGUACACACACACUUAAGGAUCAAACAUACAAAGACUCUCCUGGAUCAAAUAUGUUCUGAACGCAAUUAUGAAUGAGCUAACACACACACACAUGAAAUGAAAUUGGUAUCGUUCUCAAAGAAAAUGAUUGGAGUUUUCAGAGAAUUGCUACCCUAACAGAGAGAGUCAAACAGAACCGCAAAACCGAGAAACAAUCACAUGGAUCCGAAUCUGAUAAAGCCAAUCCGCUACAUGUUUUUGAUAGCCUAUCAAAUCAUAAACUAGAAUAUCGCCUCGGAAGUUUAGAGACGACAGAAACAAAUGGAAGAAUCUGGGAUUUUACCUGAGUAGAUGAGCGAGAGCGAGAGAGAGAUGUACGACGACGACGACGAACGAAAUGGGAAACAGAGAGGAUCCGAUCACCUGAGUCAUCUACUCCCUUUAAUCUCUUGUUGGGCCUAGAUAUGGGUUUCAGAAAACCGAAUGUAUGGGCCUCUCCUGGCCAUUCGUUUUACUUAUUUAUCUGAAUUGAUUUAUUAUUUUGAAGACAUGUGAACAGAUGUAUAACCUUGCUUAACUAAUACAAAACAAAUUAAAGUGGCUUAAAGCCUAAAACAAAUAUAAAAUAUAUAUGCUUUUUCCUUAAAUUAAAAUAUAUAGUAGGCAGGUGUAUAUUGUUUUCUAUGCUCUUUUAAAAUUUGUAUUUAUUUUAAUACUUGUAGAUCUAUUCUAUCCGCCUUAAUACUAUACAUUUAUAUUUACAUUACUACUUUUUUUCUUCCUAGGCCUGGACAGUUGGGUUCGGGUACCGGUUUUUCGGAUUUGGAAAUUAGACCCCGUUUGGGCAUUACAAAAUUUCAGAUCAAGUUCGAGUUGGGUCUUCCCGGAUCCUGGUGGGUUCGGUUAUGAUGUAAAGGAACAUGAAAAUAACCGAAUAUAUCUGAAACAAGUUUGGAUUCAGAUAAUAGUACCCAAACUAACCAUAUUAUCCGAUUCGGUUCCAGUAUUUUAGAUCAAAACUACCCAAAUAUACCAAAAAAAAAACUAAAAAUACUCAUUAGAUACAGUUUCGUUUGAGUAUUUAUAGCCAAACUAUCAUAUUUUAUCCAAAAAUACACAAAAGUAUUGAAAAUAACUAAUAUAUUUAAUUUAUAAUUUAAAUUUAAAUUAUUAAAAUAAUUAUACAUAUAAUUAUAAAAUAUUAUUUGUAAAUAUAUAUUUGCAUUUCAAAUAUCUUCGGAUACUCAUUCGGUUCUCGGUUCGGAUCGGGUUGGGUACCAGUUUUUCGGAUACAUCAAUUUAGGACCUAUUUAAUUAUUUACCCCGGAUCCAAUCGGGUUCAAGACACUUAUCUUCGGGUUGGUUUCGGGUCGGUUCUUCGGUUCCGGAUAUUUUGCCCAACCCUAUUUCUUCCUUUGACAUGCAUGGUGACUGUAACAUACUGGACAUGUAUAUUCGUAGUAUCUUUGUGAAAAAAAAUUUGCUUGUAAAUUUCAAUACAUGAGGUUUAUCCUCUUCUUUUUUUUUUCAUUUCAAAAUUUUACUUGUAAAUUUCAAUACAUGAGGUUUAAUUAAAAUUUUACUUGUAAAUUUCAAUACAUGAGGUUUAAUUUUUUUUUGUCAUAUAGUUGUUCUUAUGGAAAAUUAUACUUGUUCUUAAUGCUCUUUCUGAAAAUGAUUUAUUUUUAAUACACGUGGACAGAUACCGUUUCAAAUCUUUUAAUACAAAACAUCUUUGAAAUGACAAUAGUCAGGCCACAACUUAAAAAAAAUUAUUUAGCUGUAAAACCAGAAAGAAGAAGCUCUCUGAAACAAAACAACAAAGGGACAUAGAACCGUGUAAAACCUAAUCUUUGUCCUAGAGAUCGUUUCCCAUGGGUGUAAAUGCAACGUUCUUGGGACUAAAUAACUUAUAUGCAAUAAAACCUGAAACAACAAGAGAAAUCAUGGAUAUCACAAUGGCAGAAAUGCUGGUUCCAUCACUAGAGCCCUUGACAGUUGAAGCAGUGAGCCCCGAAGAAGAGCCUGAGGAAAUAUCUAGCGGUAUCCAAUCGCAGUUGAUCGUGUAAUGCCCUGAUCCGUGCCACGGUUUGCUGUCCAUUGGGUACCAGAAUGCAACUGACAUUUUGGCCGUUGAGCCAAGCGUGAACUGAACAUCCUGCAGAAAAGAAGAUGUUUGCCUUUAAACACAUGCUAUUCCGACUUAAAAGAGGUGUUUAGUAAAAAGAAUGCUGAUUCACAGACGUAAGAAGCCUUGGAUUUUAUGCUAUGUUUUAGAGAAGGGCCAAAUGUAACUCAACGUGGCUGAUUCGAGUUAAGGAUUAAAUCACCUGUUGGAGACGGUCCAUAGUCCUCAAAGGCCUUGAAAAUUCGAAAUAGUAAGUUCCUUUCUGGCCAUUUGGCGUGUAAGGGCUGUCUUCCGCUACAUAUCCUGUGGAGAACUUCAAAGAUAAGUAACCAAAGGAGUUGCCUAAGGCUAAGAGAUGGUAAUAAACACAGAUCUCUAACGCAAUCCUACUUUUAUAUCCAGUUAAAAGCAUGAUAAUGUAUUUAUGUUUAUGUGGAUAUGUAAGACUGACCUGAUUGAGUAGUGAAGCUGCUGUGCCACCACGCUCCAUGCCAAUCGUUCUGUGCACUAGAAUCAUUUCCUGCCAGAAGAACAUCCAUAAGGAUCACAUAUUUAAAUUUUGCACAUAAGAAAGAAAUCGCUCUUCGAGGUCCCGAGUAGAUAAGCUAGCAUCCAACUAGACAACAAAUAACUUAUAAUCUAAGGAAUUUAAGGUCUCAGUAUACUUGAGAAAACAUAUUAGAGGAUUAAUAACCUACAAAAUCUUUAAUAAAUAAUUGACGAGGGAUAAUCUACAAUUAAGCUUCCAUGAAUUGAAUUGAAGAAAACGAAAAAAGUAAUUUAUGUUCUUGGUUAUUACGGUCAUUAUAGGGAACUUCUAUAUCAUUAAUUGCCUUGUGAGUUAAAAUAUAACACUCUCUUGUCCGAGACGAGAAGUACCUGAGGGACCAAGACCAUCAAGGUAUCGACAAUGUGGAUUCCAAGCAUAAAUGUCAACCAGAUGACCAAAUCUGUUCAUAUGGAAAAGCACAGAGACAUUCAGUAAGAAAAAAUAAACAGAGGUACAAUAAGCAACUUGCAAAACAAAUAAGGAACUGAACUAGAGUCACUGAAUUGGUACAACAUCAGAUCAAAUCACCUGUCACCUCCAUUUCCUUCCCCGUUGUCUACUGGAUUACCACCGUAAAGACGUCCUGGAAUAGCAUUUCCAAUAGAGAAAUGCAUAAUAUCAACCUCGAAGCCUUUGCAAGCCUUGCUGGUACAUGAGUCCGUCCCUUCUUUACAACCACCCAUCUUAUGUAGCACAAAGUUGGUUGACAAUUAAAAAAUCAUGAAUGUUAAAUGAAAACUUCAACAAAAAUACUCAAAGUCAGUUAGGAAUCUUACUUACAUCAUGAUAAGUAGCUUGAUCACCAAUUUGGAACAUGAGAGCCACUGAAGGACACUUCUUGUUUUCACUGGAUUUAAAGAAGAAGCAACAAGUUAUGUAGAAUCAAUUAAACCAAGGAUCAUUUCAAUAUCAUCUGAAGCAGUACAUAAAUGUAUUUUGUCACCUCCGUAUCUUGAAAAUAAAUAGACAUGCCAGAUCCCGGCAACUUACAGUGACGAAUAAAUUAUAAGUUUCAAUAAUAAUUCAAGCAAAAUAUUACUAAUAGAAAAUUUCAUUGGAAAAGUCUUUCGUUGCAUCAAACCCAAAGUUGCAUUGGAUAAAUAUUUACUAUAAUAUUCCCAAGUGUUAAAAGCAGAGACAUCUCCUAAAACUUGGGAACAGUUACUAUAAUACUCAGACACUAUACGGUUCUGUUCACCUGUUCUUGGAUCUUGCUAUGGUUAUGUUAACUUAUAAUUGCUUGAUUAUAUUUAUCACAUUUGAUUUUUAGAAUGUUUUAAUCAAAACUUGGUAAUUUUAUAUUUCUGUUGAUAUUUUAUAUAUGUUAUUUUUUCUUUAAAUUAAUUUGUAAAUGAAGAAAAAUCUUUUGCCACUUAAUGAAGAAUAUAUUUUUGAAAAUAUGUAUUUAGUUGUUGUUAAAAUUAAUAAAGGUACAAUGAAAGUGUUAAACAUGAAAUUUUCCCGUAAUACUAUUUACACUGCACCAAAUUUGGUGGGUUGGUGACUCAUUGGAGAUGAAAUCACACCAAAUUUGGUUUCAUUAGAGAAAGCCUAAGGAGCUGACAUUAUAUCAGUUAAUUUUAAUUUGUUUUUUUAUUUGUUUUGAUUCGAUCCAAAAAAAUCUUGAUAUCUAUAAGCAUUCAUAACAAAACAAUUGUUAAUAAUUAAUAUCUGUUAAAAACGAAACAAAUCUGAAAUACUAAAUUUUUUAGAGUCAGGCAUCCGAUCUACUUCGACUUUUAUACAAAUAGAUGUAUAUCUACAGUAAGUAUAAGUUUUAAAUUAAUAAUUUCAUGUAAUUAUUAUUUUAUUAAUCAUAUUUAUAAAAUCAAUUACAAAAGUAUUGAAUUAAGAAAUAAAUAUAAAAUAUUUAUAAAACUACAGUUUUUCUAAAAAAUUAUGUUUUAUAAAAUUAUUAAUUUUAAAAUUUUAUGGAUAAUUCAUAAAAACUAACUAUGCAGGGUUCGAAUCCCUCUCUCUGCUUUUGUUGAUGAAAAGAUUUUUUUCUUUAUUGGCUUUUCUUAUUUCACUAAUCUUUAUCUUUAUUUUUAUUUUAUAUUUAUGUAAACCAUAUUUUUGAAAACAAAUGUAUAUAGUUUUUCUAGAAUUACUUGUAUUGAAUAAAGUAGAUGAAAAAUAUUUAUAAAUCUUCAUAAAUAUCUGUAAAUUUUAUAUAUUUUCAAAACAAAGCAAAUCGAAAUAUUAUAAAACCGUAAAACCUACUCUACUUAUAGUGAUGUAAUCAUCUAGUAGACUUUGGUUAUAGUUAAUGGUAGUUUUAUAUAUUUCAUCAGUUUACCUUAUAAAUUGUGUGUUGGACAUUGCUUUCCUGCGGAAAAUUUCAGCAAAAAAAAAAACUCAAUUUUCAAAAUAAAGCAUGAGACCAAAUGCAUUUUGAUAUUUUCUUAGGAGGCAUCUUCCCGGAAUGUUCCACCCGUGAAAGGACAGAGAAACAAAACGUGCUUCCAUUAUAAAACUGCCAGCUGGCGUCAGAGAUUGCUUUUAAAAAUAAAAAGAUUUGCUCAAAAGUUAUUAUCUUACUUUUUUUAAUUAUUAAAAAAUAUUGAAAAAAGCCUUCGCCAGCUCAUCACCACCAUCAUCAUCUCCUCCUUUAAAAAGAAAGCUAGGGACUACUUCAUCGCCUUCUUUCGUUUUGCCUUUAAUCUAUAGCCUUUUUGUUUUUGCGGUUUCUCUCGAUCAGCUAAGUUUCGAUCCAUUCUUGUUCUAGCUUUUCAAUAGCUUCUCCUCCUUCGCUUUCUUCGUUUCUGUUCUCAGAUCUAUUCUCUAUUGAUUUCAGAUCUAGAUCUAGGGUUUGUUCGAAUAAAAAUUGGGGGAAUUUGAAAAAGAAGGAAUGAUUGUAGGUUCUCUAUGAGCUACUCAGUUCUUCUUCGGCGUAUUCGCAUAGUCCACUCUUUCUCCGUCGUUUAUCUCUACUAUACCUACGUCUUCUCAUGAACUAAUCGUUUCCGAUCUCAUCUCGAAUAAACAUUUCUGAGUUUUUUUUUUCCAUUCAAUCUAAACCGAUUCUUUGAUAGAUUAGAGAGCGGGGAAUUUAAGAUCUGUGUGUAGAAUUUGGGGGUAAUUUAUAGGGAUUUAGAAAAAAAUUAUAUUAUUAUAUUGUUUUAAUUUUGGUGAGGAAAAAGUCAAAAAGUCAACGGAAAUGGGGUCGAAAAGUCCUGAUUCCGACAAUGAUCCGAGGUACGCUUCCGUCACGGACGAGAGGAAGAGGAAGAGAAUGAUCUCCAACAGAGAGUCCGCUCGGAGAUCAAGGAUGAGGAAGCAGAAGCAGCUCGGCGAUCUCAUCAACGAGGUCACCGUUCUCAAGAACGAUAACGCCAAGAUCACCGAGCAGGUUGACGCGGCGACGAGGAGGUACGUCGAGAUGGAGUCCAAGAACGACGUCUUGAGAGCGCAAGCGGUUGAGCUGACGGAGAGGUUGAGGUCGUUGAACUCUGUGCUGGAGAUGGUUGAGGAGAUUAGUGGUCAGGCUUUGGAUAUUCCUGAGAUUCAGAACCCUUGGCAGAUUCCUUGUCCGAUCAUGCAAACCAAUCAUGGCUUCUGCUGAUAUGUUUGAAUGCUCUGAGGAUUUACUCAUUGGCUUGUCCGUUCGAGUUUUGUAACAACUAGAGUCAUUGGUGUGUGUCAUCUUUAUAAAAACUUCAGUCUCUUGUUUUUUCAGUUAUUUCAGUUUGUGUGGUCUUGCGGUUGUCUUUUAUUCUUGUGUCGUCUAUUACAUAAGAUAAGGUUGUCAUGUAUUUGUGUUUCUAGAUGAAUUCAAGCUUUGUGUUGUUUUUCUUAUAUUAUAUGAUUAAUUCGAUUUCCGACUAUGAAUCUUGCCAAAUUACAAAGUAUAUAACAUGCUCGAGUCUCAAAGGCAGCAUUCAUAUCAUAUCACCAAAUAGACUGGAACAAAAGAUUUGUAUGUAAUAUAAUAUAAGGACGGGAUCCUGGAACAUGAUGGAUCAGUCGUAAGUACGACACUCGCUAGUCUCAGGAUUGUCUUUGCAGUAUUCCUCCAAAGGGUCGGAGUCUUUCUUCUUGUCUCUAGCGUGGCUAGCUGCUGCGCUUAGCUCCUCGACCUCGUCCCACGCAGCUACACACUCUCCGCUCACUGGAUCGCCAGCACACGUCUCCUCUGCGUCCUUGAUGCUCUUCUCCACUUUAUCCGAUAUCACUCCUUCUGGCGUCGCUUUAA